rnacentral:tRNA from 1 species
GGAGGCUUAGCUCAGCUGGGAGAGCAUCUGCCUUACAAGCAGAGGGUCGGGGGUUCGAUCCCCUCAGCCUUCACCA